rnacentral:rRNA from 1 species
UACAGAGGGUGCGAGCGUUGUUCGGAAUUAUUGGGCGUAAAGAGCGUGUAGGCGGCGUCGCAAGUCGGGUGUGAAAGCCCACGGCUCAACCGUGGAAGUGCGCCCGAAACUGCGGUGCUGGAGUGCCGGAGAGGAUGGCGGAAUUCCGGGUGUAGAGGUGAAAUUCGUAGAUAUCCGGAGGAACACCGGUGGCGAAGGCGGCCAUCUGGACGGACACUGACGCUGAGACGCGAGAGCGUGGGUAG